AUUGAACGCUGGCGGCAGGCCUAACACAUGCAAGUCGAACGGUAACAGGAAGCUGCUUGCUGCUUUGCUGACGAGUGGCGGACGGGUGAGUAAUGUCUGGGAAACUGCCUGAUGGAGGGGGAUAACUACUGGAAACGGAAGCUAAUACCGCAUUACGUCGCAAGACCAAAGAGGGGGAACUUCGAGCCUCUUGCUAUCGACUGUGUCCAGUUGGGAUUAGCUAGUAGGUGGGGUAAAGGCUCACCUAGGCGACGAUCCCUAGCUGGUCUGAGAGGAUGACCAGCCACACUGGAACUGAGACACGGUCCAGACUCCUACGGGAGGCAGCAGUGGGGAAUAUUGCACAAUGGGCGCAAGCCUGAUGCAGCCAUGCCGCGUGUAUGAAGAAGGCCUUCGGGUUGUAAAGUACUUUCAGCGGGGAGGAAGGGAGUAAAGUUAAUACCUUUGCUCAUUGACGUUACCCGCAGAAGAAGCACCGGCUAACUCCGUG
rnacentral:rRNA from 1 species